GAACUUCAACGGUCCAUCGAUUUGUUCUUGCCCAGAAUCGUAUGCAUUUUCAGAGUAUUAACUGAACCUGGAUCUAUAACAUUGGAAGCUAGUCGAAUCAGCCUAUCUUGGUGGCGAGACUCGUGUUAAAGAUAUGGUUUGCAUAAAUAACAAAUUCGACUUGGCGUUAUAGGUAAACAGACAUGGUCUUUGAUUUCAGUGCUUUGUACGGCAUGCUAUGAGCAUUAUUUGUGUCGCAUGAGUGACUAAUGUCUAAGCUUUAGCUUCAUUCAUGUCGAUGCUUAAUGUUUCGUGGCUGUCAAUGAAAUCGGCAAGUCUACAGGAGUUUUGAAUGCCGAGUUAUUCGACCCGUCUUGAAACACGGUCUAAGGAGUUCACUGCAUGUGCAAGAGUUCGGCUGUAUGAAAAGCCUUGCUCGUAAUGAAAGUAAAGAACAUUCUCGCAAUGUUUUAAGUGUGAUUUCUGUCAUUUGGUGCAAAUCAUGACAAUGAACGCAACACUGACAGGUUCUAUUGCCGCUGGCAAAGAGCUUAGUAAGAGUAUAUGCAAUGAGACCCGAAAGAUGGUGAACUUAAUGUGUGUAGAAUGAAGCCAGGGGAAACCCUGGUGGAAGUUCGUAGCGGUUCUGACGUGCAAAUCGAUCGUCAAACAUGCAUUAAGGGGCGAAAGACUAAUCGAACCAUCUAGUAGCUGGUUCCGUCCGAAGUUUCCCUCAGGAUAGCUGGCACUCGUUUUUCACAGUUAUAUCCGGUAAAGCGAAUGUUUAGAGGCAUUGGGCGUAAAAUACGCUCAACCUAUUGACAAACUUUAAAUGGGUAUGAAGUUCAUUUUUCUACUUCAUUGAGAAUGAACAGCGAAUGUGAGUGCCAAGUGGGCCAUUUUUGGUAAGCAGAACUGGCGCUGUUGGAUGCACAAAACGUCAAGAUAAAGAGCCAGAUGGUCUCGCUCAUCAGAUACCAUAAAAGGUGUUGGUCGAUAUAGACAGCAGGACGGUGGCCAUGGAAGUCGGAAUCCGUUAAGGAGUGUGUAACAACUCACCUGCCGAAUCGACUAGUCCUAAAAAUGGAUGGCGCUCGAGCGAGCCUCUUAUACUUGACUGUUACGAUACAACAAGCCAUUUACGGACAUCAUGUCGUAACAAGUAGGACGGUUGAUAUGGUUGCGUCGAAGGCUAACACGUGAGUGUGGCUUGAGCAGUCAUAUGUACAGAUCUUAGUGGUAGUAGCAACUAUUCAAAUGAGAACUUUGAAGACUGACGUGGAGAAAGGUUCCAUGUGAACAGCUAUUGGACAUGGGUCAGUCAGUCCUAAGAUGCGCUCGAAAGAGGGUUCCGAACGAGGAAUAUCUAUUCAUAUAUAUAUUCCAUCCAAUCGAAAGGGAAACAAGUUAAUAUUCUUGUACUAAGUGCCGGAGAUUGUUUGAUUUCUUGUCAAACAUAUGUGGUAACACAAACAAGCUCAAAUACAUCACAAGUGGUCCUGGAAAGAGUUUUCUCUUCUUUGUUACUUCAUCAGACGACCCUGGAAUCAGUUCAACUGGAGAUAGGGUUCAAAUGAAGGUAAAGAGUAGCCGUUCUUGCUACUUCCUCGGUGCAUCAUUUGUGAUCCUUGAAAAUUUGAGCGAGAUAAUCAAUUUCGCACUUAUCUGUACUCUAAACCGCAUCAGGUCUCCAAGGUGAAAAGCCUCUAGUCAAUUAGAACAAGGUAGCACAAGGGAAGUCGGCAAAAUCGAUCGGCAACUUCGGGAUAACGAUUGGCUCUAAGUGCUAGGGUGUUCGGGCUUGAUGAUAAAGCAGUAGACUUGCUAUUGGAGCUGAGCUUUUGGACGUGGCAACAUGUUUGAUCGUUCGGACUAGUAACUUGUCUUGCUGUGGAAUCGUUUUGCUACGGUAUGCGGUUCGUUCGCGGAUCGUAUUACUUCGGACAUCGUUUAAUAGCAAACUUAGAACUCGCUGCGUCUAGGGGAAUCCGACUGUCUAAUUAAAACAGAGCUUUGCGAUUGGCCGGAAAACUUGGUGUUGACGCAAAGUGAUUUCUGCCCAGUGCUCUGAAUGUUAACGUGAAGAAAUUCAAACAAGCGCGGGUAAACGGCGGGAGUAACUAUGACUCUCUUCUGGUAGCCAAAUGCCUCGUCAUCUAAUUAGUGACGCGCAUGAAUGGAUUAACGAGAUUCCCACUGUCCCUGUCUACUAUCUAGCGAAACCACAGCCAAGGGAACGGGCUUGGACUUCAAUGCGGGGAAAGAAGACCCUGUU
rnacentral:rRNA from 1 species